CCUACGGGAGGCUGCAGUGAGGAAUAUUGGUCAAUGGCCGAGAGGCUGAACCAGCCAAGUCGCGUGAGGGAUGACGGCCCUACGGGUUGUAAACCUCUUUUGUCGGGGAGCAAAGAGAGUCACGUGUGGCUCAUUGAGAGUACCCGAAGAAAACGCAUCGGCUAACUCCGUGCCAGCAGCCGCGGUAAUACGGAGGAUGCGAGCGUUAUCCGGAUUUAUUGGGUUUAAGGGGUGCGCAGGCGGAGGUGCAAGUCAGUGGUCAAAGUGCGGGGCUCAACCCCGUACUGCCGUUGAAACUGCAGCCCUUGAGUGCAGAAGAGGAGAGUGGAACUCCAUGUGUAGCGGUGAAAUGCGUAGAUAUAUGGAAGAACACCAGUGGCGAAAGCGGCUCUCUGGUCUGUAACUGACGCUGAGGUUCGAAAGCGUGGGUAGCAAACAGGAUUAGAUACCCUGGUAGUC
rnacentral:rRNA from 1 species